rnacentral:rRNA from 1 species
UGGGGAAUUUUGGACAAUGGGCGCAAGCCUGAUCCAGCCAUGCCGCGUGAGUGAAGAAGGCCUUCGGGUUGUAAAGCUCUUUCGGUUGGGAAGAAAUUGCCUGGGUUGAUACCUCAGGUAGAUGACGGUACCAGCAUAAGAAGCACCGGCUAACUACGUGCCAGCAGCCGCGGUAAUACGUAGGGUGCGAGCGUUAAUCGGAAUUACUGGGCGUAAAGCGUGCGCAGGCGGUUUAGUAAGACAGGCGUGAAAUCCCCGGGCUCAACCUGGGAACUGCGCUUGUGACUGCUAAGCUAGAGUACGGCAGAGGGGGGUGGAAUUCCACGUGUAGCAGUGAAAUGCGUAGAGAUGUGGAGGAACACCAAUGGCGAAGGCAGCCCCCUGGGUCGAUACUGACGCUCAUGCACGAAAGCGUGGGUAGCAAACA